GAAAUGCGAUAAGUAAUGUGAAUUGCAGAAUUCAGUGAAUCAUCGAAUCUUUGAACGCACAUUGCGCCCGUCGGCAUUCCGGCGGGCACGCCUGUCCGAGCGUCAUCAAGAAACCCCUCGGGCGCCCUCCCCUCCGGGGGCGGGCCCCGUCGUUGGGGCGCGCCGACCGAGCCCUCCAGGGGGACUCGGCGGCGGCCCUCGAACCCAUCGGCGGUGCAUCGCAGCAGGACCGUCCGGCGUUGCGGAUUCGUUUUCCGCCGGCGGCCCCUCGAUCUCCCCGCAACGACCUCACCUCCAAAAGGACCUCGGAUCAGGCGGGGUUACCCGCUGAACUUAA
rnacentral:misc_RNA from 1 species